rnacentral:rRNA from 1 species
AGAGUUUGAUCCUGGCUCAGAACGAACGCUGGCGGCAUGCUUAACACAUGCAAGUCGAACGAAGGCCCGGGGCUUGCCCCGGUCACCUUAGUGGCGGACGGGUGAGUAACACGUGGGAACCUGCCCUGGAGCGGGGAAUAACCUCGGGAAACUGAGGCUAAUACCGCAUACGACCUCCGGGUGAAAGGCUUCGGCCACUCUUGGAUGGUCCCGCGUCUGAUUAGCUUGUUGGUGAGGUAACGGCUCACCAAGGCGACGAUCAGUAGCUGGUCUGAGAGGACGACCAGCCACACUGGAACUGAGACACGGUCCAGACUCCUACGGGAGGCAGCAGUAGGGAAUCUUGGUCAAUGGGCGCAAGCCUGAACCAGCGAUGCCGCGUGUGUGAAGAAGGCCUUCGGGUUGUAAAGCACUUUCAGUAGAGAAGAAAAGCCUACGGUUAAUACCCGUGAGUCUUGACGUUACCUACAGAAGAAGCUCCGGCUAACUCCGUGCCAGCAGCCGCGGUAAUACGGAGGGAGCGAGCGUUAAUCGGAAUUACUGGGCGUAAAAGCGCGCGUAGGCGGCAUUGUAAGUCGGAUGUGAAAGCCCUGGGCUUAACCUGGGAAUGGCAUUCGAUACUGCAGAGCUAGAGUAUGGGAGAGGAGAGCGGAAUUCCCGGUGUAGAGGUGAAAUUCGUAGAUAUCGGGAGGAACACCAGUGGCGAAGGCGGCUCUCUGGACCAAUACUGACGCUGAGAAGCGAAAGCGUGGGGAGCAAACAGGAUUAGAAACCCCGGUAGUCCUAGCCGUAAACGAAUGCACACUUGGUGUUGGUGGCAUAAAAACCAUCAGUGCCGCAGCUAACGCGAUAAGUGUGCCGCUUGGGGACUACGGUCGCAAGGCUAAAACUCAAGGGAAUUGACGGGGGCCCGCACAAGCGGAU